GAAAAUGAUCAACUUUGCGAUAUACUAACAUCGUCUCGAAACGAGACAGAAUCAUAUAAAAAGAAGCUUUUGGAAUCAGAUAAACGAUUUGAACAAUUGUCUGUGAUUUGCGAAUCAUAUAAAAAGCAGCUUUUAGAGAAAGAUAAAACAGCUGAACAAUUCUCAUUUGUUUGUGA